GACGAACGCUGGCGGCGUGCUUAACACAUGCCAGUCGAACGGAAAGGCCCUGCUUUUGUGGGGUGCUCGAGUGGCGAACGGGUGAGUAACACGUGAGUAACCUGCCCUUGACUUUGGGAUAACUUCAGGAAACUGGGGCUAAUACCGGAUAGGAGCUCCUGCUGCAUGGUGGGGGUUGGAAAGUUUCGGCGGUUGGGGAUGGACUCGCGGCUUAUCAGCUUGUUGGUGGGGUAGUGGCUUACCAAGGCUUUGACGGGUAGCCGGCCUGAGAGGGUGACCGGCCACAUUGGGACUGAGAUACGGCCCAGACUCCUACGGGAGGCAGCAGUGGGGAAUAUUGCACAAUGGGCGGUAGCCUCAUGCAGCAACGCCGCGUGCGGGAUGACGGCCUUCGGGUUGUAAACCGCUUUCGCCUGUGACGAAGCGUGAGUGACGGUAAUGGGUAAAGAAGCACCGGCUAACUACGUG
rnacentral:rRNA from 1 species